rnacentral:rRNA from 1 species
GACGAACGCUGGCGGCGUGCUUAACACAUGCAAGUCGAACGAUGAAGCCGGAGCUUGCUCUGGUGAAUUAGUGGCGAACGGGUGAGUAACACGUGAGUAACCUGCCCUUGACUCUGGGAUAACUGCUAGAAAUGGUAGCUAAUACCGGAUACGACCCUCGGAGGCAUCUUCAGGGGGUGGAAAGAAUUUCGGUCAAGGAUGGACUCGCGGCCUAUCAGCUAGUUGGUGAGGUAAUGGCUCACCAAGGCGACGACGGGUAGCCGGCCUGAGAGGGUGACCGGCCACACUGGGACUGGGACACGGACCAGACUCCGACGGGAGGCAGCAGUGGGGAAUAGUGCACAAUGGGCGCAAGCCUGAUGCAGCAACGCCGCGUGAGGGAUGACGGCCUUCGGGUUGUAAACCUCUUUUAGUAGGGAAGAAGCGAAAGUGACGGUACCUGCGGAAAAAGCACCGGCUAACUACGUGCCAGCCGCCGCAGUAA